rnacentral:rRNA from 1 species
AUUGAACGCUGGCGGAAUGCUUUACACAUGCAAGUCGAACGGUAGAGGGGGCAACCCCUCGAGAGUGGCGAACGGGUGGGUAAUAUAUCGGAACGUGCCCAGUCGUGGGGGAUAACGGAGCGAAAGUUACGCCAAUACCGCAUACAACCUAAGGAUGAAAGCGGGGGAGCGCAAGCCCAUGCGCGAUUGGAGCGGCCGAUAUCGGAUUAGGUAGUUGGUGGGGUAAAGGCCCACCAAGCCAACGAUCUGUAGCUGGUCUGAGAGGACGACCAGCCACACUGGAACUGAGACACGGUCCAGACUCCUACGGGAGGCAGCAGUGGGGAAUUUUGGACAAUGGACGCAAGUCUGAUCCAGCCAUUCCGCGUGCAGGAUGAAGGCCCUCGGGUUGUAAACUGCUUUUGUACGGAACGAAAAGGUCUCUCUUAAUACGGGGGGCUCAUGACGGUACCGUAAGAAUAAGCACCGGCUAACUACGUGCCAGCCGCCGCAGUAA